GAUCAUGGCUCAGAAUGAACGCUGGCGGCAUGGAUUAGGCAUGCAAGUCGAACGUACUCCCUUCGGGGAGAAAGUGGCGAAAGGGUGAGUAACACGUGAGCAACCUGCCUCCGGAUCCGGAAUAAUCCAGGGAAACUUGGUCUAAAACCGGAUGAAGACAUUGGGCCGCAUGGUCUGGUGUUAAAAUAUUUAUAGUCCGGAGAGGGGCUCGCGGCCCAUUAGCUUGUUGGCGGGGUAAUGGCCCACCAAGGCUACGACGGGUAGGUGGUCUGAGAGGAUGGUCACCCACACUGGGACUGAGACACUGCCCAGGCUCCUACGGGAGGCUGCAGUCGAGAAUCUUCCGCAAUGGGCGCAAGCCUGACGGAGCGAUGCCGCGUGAGGGAUGAAGGCCUUCGGGUUGUAAACCUCUGUCAUCCGGGACGAAAACAAUGACGGUACCGGAAAAGGAAGCCACGGCUAACCACGUGCCAGCAGCCGC
rnacentral:rRNA from 1 species